AGUGAACGCUGGCGGUAGGCCUAACACAUGCAAGUCGAACGGCAGCACAGGAGAGCUUGCUCUCUGGGUGGCGAGUGGCGGACGGGUGAGGAAUACAUCGGAAUCUACUCUGUCGUGGGGGAUAACGUAGGGAAACUUACGCUAAUACCGCAUACGACCUACGGGUGAAAGCAGGGGACCUUCGGGCCUUGCGCGAUUGAAUGAGCCGAUGUCGGAUUAGCUAGUUGGCGGGGUAAAGGCCCGCCAAGGCGACGAUCCGUAGCUGGUCUGAGGGGAUGGUCGGCCACACUGGAACUGAUGCACGGUCCAGACUCCUACGGGAGGCAGCAGUGGGGAAUAUUGGACAAUGGGCGCAAGCCUGAUCCAGCCAUACCGCGUGGGUGAAGAAGGCCUUCGGGUUGUAAAGCCCUUUUGUUGGGAAAGAAAUCCAGCUGGCUAAUACCCGGUUGGGAUGACGGUACCCAAAGAAUAAGCACCGGCUAACUUCGUGCCAGCCGCCGCCGUAA
rnacentral:rRNA from 1 species